UUGACUCUGUGCUUCCCAAGCCGAGGCCCUGCUGUGCCCAGUGAGGCCCACUGCUCUUCUGUAUAUUCUCAGGUUGCUCUGCCAUCUGCACAGGCAGCUCCUCCACAAGCACGAGUCUGCAGCAAAGGUGUUCGCAUUAAAAUGAUAAAAGGCCACUGAAAACCUGUGAGGAAGGGGACUCCGAGUUAAAAAAUAGGACAGUUCUUAAACUACUGCUUUGGAGUGAAGGUAAAUGCUUGUUAUAACUGCAAAUACAUUUACAAAUAAAUGUAUAUASUUAUUUGUUGUUCUAUUUGCAAAACUACUCGAUCAGUGCUGAUGUUUGAUCCAGUGCUCCCUCUAGUGGCUGACAGAUGUAACACCUCAAAGUGAUAAAACCAGGAAAAUAACUACAAUAAGACACAUGGUUGGUAAAAAAUAAAAUAAAAUAAAAGA